UAAAGAUCAAUAUUUUUAUGAUGUAAAAGACAAAAUGAAACAAUGUGAGAAAAAGAAAUUGCUUCAAGAUGAGUCCAAAUUAAAAAUAUGAAAUAGCAAAAAGAAUGUGAAAGAAAGCUGUGCAAUUGGUUUAAAAAAUAAAGAAAAUUUGUUACAAAUAAAUGUAUGAGAAAACUAAAGAUAUCAACUAAGUUUCAAGUUCCCAUUGAUGUAGAUAAAGAUUUGAUAUUUAGGCAUUCUGGAUAUGAAAUAGAUGAAACACCACGAAUAUAUUUACUUAAAGCAUCAAUUUGUAAUCCCUAGAACUUGCUGUGACUUAUUUAAUUCAUAUAUCAGGAAAAAAAGGUGGGUUUCUGGUAAAUCUGCAAAUGGAAAAAUCAAACAUUAUAAGAUCCAUUUGUAAUGAAGACGAUCAAUGAUAAUUAUGUUUUAAAAUUUGGUAAUUUACUGAUGUUAUAAAAGGAGUUUUUUGGUGGUAAUAAGAAACAAUAUAUAAACUGGGUAAUUAGUUAAACAUCCAAAAUUAGGUUAAACAAAUUCUCAUGCAGUUGUACAGUA
rnacentral:lncRNA from 1 species